rnacentral:rRNA from 1 species
GACGAACGCUGGCGGCGUGCCUAAUACAUGCAAGUAGAACGCACAGUUUAUACCGUAGCUUGCUACACCAUAGACUGUGAGUUGCGAACGGGUGAGUAACGCGUAGGUAACCUGCCUGGUAGCGGGGGAUAACUAUUGGAAACGAUAGCUAAUACCGCAUAAUAUUGAUUAUUGCAUGAUAAUUGAUUGAAAGAUGCUAUUGCAUCACUACCAGAUGGACCUGCGUUGUAUUAGCUAGUAGGUGAGGUAACGGCUCACCUAGGCGACGAUACAUAGCCGACCUGAGAGGGUGAUCGGCCAAAAUGGGACUGGGACACGGCCCAGACCCCUACGGGGGGCAGCAGUAGGGAAUCUUCGGAAAUGGACGAAAGGCUGACCGAGCAACGACGCGUGAGUGAAGAAGGGUUUCGGAUCGUAAAGCUCUGUUGUAAGAGAAGAACGGGUGUGAGAGUGGAAAGUUCACACUGUGACGGUAUCUUACCAGAAAGGGACGGCUAACUACGUG